CAGCAAAUAGUUUAUUAAAAUAUUAAUUUUGGAGAUUAAAGAUGUAAAUUCUACUUUGCUGA
rnacentral:tRNA from 1 species